AAAUAUCGCGAGGUUUCCUGUCAGAGCGGCGCGGGAUGCGGUGGGAGCUAUGCGGCGGGCCUGGGCCACUUCUGCCCGGUCACUGUAGAGAGCAACAAAAUCACACUGGGCCUCCUUUUCUCCAGGCUAAACAGUUCCAGCUCCUUAAACUGUUCAUCACAACUUGUGCUCAAGACCCUUCACCAGCUCCAGUAAUUUUUCAGGCACACUCCAGCUCUUCAAUGGCCUUCCUGUCAUAAGGGGCGCAGAACUGGACAACACAGAAUUCAAGGUGCAGCCUUGCCAGUGCCAAGUGUAGGGGCCUAAUCACUGCCCUGGUCCUGCUGGCCAUACUAUUGCUGAUGCCUUCUUGGUCACCUGAGCACACUGCUGGGUCAUGUUCAGCAUCCCCAGACCCUUUUCCACUGGGUAGCUUCCCAGACACUCUGCCCAAGCCAAUAGUCCUGCAUGGGGUUGUUGUGACCGAGGACAGGACACAGCAAGUGGCCUUGUUGAGCUUUAAUCCAUCAAUCCAGCCUGUCCAAACCCCUCUGCUGAGUUUUCUGACUCUCCAGCAGAUAACACUCCCACCCAACUUGGUGUCAUCUGCAAACUGAUUGAAAGAUCAGAUCCCAUUAUCCGGAUUAUCGAUAAAGAUAUUAAACACAUAUGGCCCCAGCACUGGGCCUUUAGUGAACACCACUUGGGACUGACCACCAGCUGGAUAUGUCCCCAUCCACCACCACUAUCUGGGCCUGGCCAUCCAGCAAGUUUUUAACACAGCAACCAGCACCCCCAAUCCAAGCUGCGAGCAGCCAGUUUCUCCAGGAAAAUGCUGAGGGAGAUGCUGUUGAAGGCUUUACUGAAGUCCAAGCAGACAACACCCAAAGCCCUUCUCAUCCACUAAGUGGGCCACCUUGUCUUAGAAGGAGAUCACGUUGGUCAAGCAGGACCUGCCUUUCAUAAACCCGUGCUGGCUAAGCCUGAUACCCUGGCUGUCCUGUAUGUGCCAUGUGAUAGUGCUCCAGAAAAUCUGCUCCAUAACCUUCCCCAGCACCAAGAUGAAGCUUACAGGCCUGAGUGCCUCUCCCAAAGUUUCUUGCAGUUGGGCUAACUUCAAAGAAAGUUCAAGUGCUUAAGGUGCAGGAACUAAACUUUGAAAAGUGUUUUCUAAUCACAUUGCAAACCUGUAUCUUACAAAAAGGUUUUUUCUAAUGUUUGAGUAAUAUAAACCAUUUCAGUGAACUUAGAUGAAGACAGAGUUUAUGAUCUUACUUUAGAGUUUGUUUGGGUUUUUUUACCUUGCCUUCCUUUUCACCCCUUUUUCUUCUGAAACAAACACAAGAAAUCACUUUCUGGUACAAGAAGCCACAAGGCUGACAGAUAUACCAAUGCAUAUUUACUGACUCACAAAAUUAUUUAUGUCCAGACUUCCUACAGAUGGAGCUAUAAUGCAGUUUGUAAGGACUCGAUUACUUUUACAGAAAAGGAAGGGAUGGCAUCUUUGCAAAUGGGCUUCUUGUUUAGAUGCCUUACAUUGUGUUUCAAAUUUACUUGUCUUUUCAAGAGUAUUUUUCAGAAAAGGUUAAUUUAAAAGGUACUGGUCUGCUAGGUUGAGUUUUAUACAAAAAACCCUCCAAACUUCUGAGAUAACUGGGCUUCAUUUUCUAACUAUUUAAUGCUAAUAGAUUUAACUUAUUCUUCUUUAAAUCCUUUCUUCAGCAUGGGGGUUAAUCCAGAAGGAAAAAAAAACACAAAGAGGGUAUUUGAAGAAAACAAUACUUUCUUGCUGUAUCAUUCUGCUCUUGUUGCAUGUUUUCUGCCAUUUUGCUUUGCUGUCAUCUGCUGUAUUGUAGAUUUUUGGGACCAAAGCCACAUCCUCCAUAUGUGGGGUUAAAUGGAUAACAUUCUUUGGCCUUUGUUUUAGAAAAAGGAUGAAUUGCUGCAAUUUGAUUUUUCAUGGAGUCAUCCAGGGAGUUGGAGAGACAUCUUAAACGGUCUCUUUCAGACUCUUCAGAUGCUUUUUCACGAAGUAUUCUUGUAUUUGGAUCUUCUAUUGUGCCAUUUAUGUAGCAGAUAGGGAGUAAGAAAGUGCCUGCUCUGGCACCAUGGACAGAGGUCCCCUAUGAAAUGGCCAGAGUAGUGGACAGUAUAUUCCUGGCAAAACUUUGUCAUGUGUGCAACUAAAAUAUUUCAAAUAUUUCAAAUAUUUCAUUAGAUUAGCAGAAUUAACUGCAUUAGCAGAUUUUGGAUGUGGAUAAUUCUUCACUCAAUACUAGGCAGAGCCUACAAUACCUUUUCUCUGAAAUAUCUGUUGUUUGGAGGAGUUUGGAGGCUGAAAGAUUUGACAGUUGUAUUCCAUUCCACAUGGUCUGACAGCAAUAGCAAAGGCCAUGACAAAUCAGUGGUCUAAUCUUAUAGUAUACACUGACAGGCUGCUCUUUAGUAGUGGUCUUUUGACCUCCAAAACACCUUUUUUAAAAUACUUGAAGCGUUUUCCUUUGUUUAUAUCUAAGAAAUACAUAAAGCUCUAGCCCUAGGGGAAUACAAUCCAGUUAAAAGGACUGUGGCGUGUUGGGACUUCCAUUUCUAUUUUCAUCAUGAGAAAUAGAUUGAAUAUGGAAGAUGUUUUCUGUCUGCAAAGGGUAUUAUACUUCAAACAUAACUUUUGAAAUUUCAGCACUACAUUCUUAUCAGCCAUUCUGACUAGUCAGAAAAACCCAAAAACCAAGAAUGAGGGGGCUGUGUGAUGUAUGCGUCCUAAAAGUGUUCUUGUCAUUUAUUUAAUGUUCAAGAGGUUGUCACACAUAUAUUGCUUCAGGAUCCUUGCUGAUACACUGGGACUUCUUGGUCAUGUAGAGUCCUACACCAGCCACACCUGCAAAACUUAGCAAGUGGAUUCUCAAGACUAGGUUGAGAUGAGGUGUUCCUCAGGCCUGAAACAAACAACUGCAGCCUGACAGAGUGCUGCAUGCCAAGCCUUUUUGUCUAUGAAGAAAUUAUUGAAAAUUAUGAAUGAAACACACGGUCUGCCUUUGCUUCCCCUGGCUGCCUGAGGCAUUGUCAUUUAUCAUUUCAGAGUUGUACCUUUCAAACUCAUAGGAAGGCCCCACAGUUCAUAUCUGAAUACCUGCAGGAAAUGCAUUCAUGACUAAGUUCCUACAACAGUGGAUGCAUGCUGUGUAAAGAGAGGAUAUUUAAACUGGGUAACACAACAGUUGAAACCCGAGGAGCAGGUUGCAUGUGGCUUCUGUGUAUUCUGUACACUUCUUCUUGCUUUGUCUGGGGACAAGGGCUACAGCCUUCAUCAGGACAGUACUAUGUGAGUAAUCUCAUAUGGGCACAUCUUGUGAAGUUUACACUAUGUAUAAACUGAAUUGAAAGGUGAGUAUUCUGUAAAAGCGCACUGCCACAAAAGUCAGAAUACAGAGAAAGAUGUGCUAGGCCAUAUUCAGCUCCAAAGAUUAAUUAGUUCUCUCCUUAGGGGAUCCCUAAGGAUCCCUAAGUAUCCCUCUAAAACUUAGCACAUAAUUGGUCCCAAAAUCUACUGAAUAAUUUGUUCACUGUUUAGCUAGAUAAAUCUAAAAUGAUUUCUAUAAUAAUUUAUCCAAUUUACCACAGUCUAGCUAUCACUUUAGUCAGUUCUAGCCGCUGUAGUUUUUUGUGUCUCAACUCACGUUUUGUUCCCUAAAGUAUUUUGGUCUAACAACCUCAUCUCUAUGCAUAUGGGUCCUAGACUAGUAGGCUUGAAGCUGAUCUGUGGUAUUAAAAUACAAAAUUAAAAGCAGCCUGAGAAGGUCUGGUAAUUGAUAACAUUUGUUAUCCGCAUUGUUCCACUUCCUUAUGGCUUCCUUAGUAACUGAGGAUUCUUAUAAGAAGGUUAUUGGAAGUCCUAAGGCUAUGUCCUACUGAUCUCAGGCAUGUUUCUUUGUCAGGUUCUAGACCUGAAAUUUAUACACAGUACUGCCUUGACUGUAGAAGUUUAUAGAGGUGUGCAUUCAAGAAUUACAAAUCAAGAUUUGUUUUCAGAUUUAAAGUUCAGUCAUAUAGUUUUGUUAGGGGUUAGGUGUCCUUCUUCUAGUUCCUUUAGUUACCUGUGGAAUUUUUACCCAUUAGUUGCGAGGAAAAUCUAACUGUGGGUAUUUGGAGGAUACUUGAAGAACACAAAGAGUUUGGCAGGGUCCAGGGGGGGAAGGGGGGCAGGAAAAAAAAAGGGCGGGGACAGUUUGGCGGGCUUUCUUCAUCUUCAGAUAAGGACACUUUGGGCACAGAGCUGCUGCGGUGGAGAGAAGAGAAUUUGCCAUCACCCAGACGGAGCUGCUGCUUCUU